rnacentral:rRNA from 1 species
GCUUAGCCCUAAACCUAGACAUAUCUUUACAUAUAUGUCCGCCCGGGUACUACGAGCACAGCUUAAAACCCAAAGGACUUGGCGGUGUCUCAGACCCACCUAGAGGAGCCUGUUCUAGAACCGAUAACCCCCGUUAAACCUCACCCCUUCUUGUUUUUUCCGCCUAUAUACCGCCGUCGUCAGCUUACCCUGUGAAGGCCUAACAGUAAGCAAAAUGGGCCCACCCAAAAACGUCAGGUCGAGGUGUAGCGCACGAAGGGGGAAGAAAUGGGCUACAUUUUCUAAAUAACAGAAUACUACGAAUGAGCACUCUGAAAUAUAGUGCCUGAAGGUGGAUUUAGUAGUAAAAAGCAAAUAGAGAGUCCUUUUGAAUUAGGCUCUGAGACGCGCA